AGAGUUUGAUCAUGGCUCAGGAUGAGCGCUGGCGGCGUGCUUAACACAUGCAAGUCGAACGAAGCAAUUUCUCACGAUCCCUUCGGGGUGACGAGUUAUUGACUGAGUGGCGGACGGGUGAGUAACGCGUGGGUAACCUACCUUGUACAGGGGGACAACAGUUGGAAACGACUGCUAAUACCGCAUAAGCGCACAGUAUCGCAUGAUACAGUGUGAAAAGUUUUUUCGGUACAAGAUGGACCCGCGUCUGAUUAGCUAGUUGGUGAGGUAACGGCUCACCAAGGCGACGAUCAGUAGCCGACCUGAGAGGGUGACCGGCCACAUUGGGACUGAGACACGGCCCAAACUCCUACGGGAGGCAGCAGUGGGGAAUAUUGCACAAUGGGCGCAAGCCUGAUGCAGCGACGCCGCGUGAGCGAAGAAGUAUUUCGGUAUGUAAAGCUCUAUCAGCAGGGAAGAUAAUGACGGUACCUGACUAAGAAGCACCGGCUAAAUACGUGCCAGCAGCCGCGGUAAUACGUAUGGUGCAAGCGUUAUCCGGAUUUACUGGGUGUAAAGGGAGCGUAGGCGGUUUUACAAGUCUGAUGUGAAAGCCCGGGGCUCAACUCCGGUAUUGCAUUGGAAACUGUAGAACUAGAGUGUCGGAGGGGUAAGUGGAAUUCCUAGUGUAGCGGUGAAAUGCGUAGAUAUUAGGAGGAACACCAGUGGCGAAGGCGACUUACUGGACUGUAACUGACGUUGAGGCACGAAAGUGUGGGGAGCAAACAGGAUUAGAUACCCUGGUAGUCCACACCGUAAACGAUGGAUACUAGGUGUAGGGUGUAUUAAACAUUCUGUGCCGUCGCAAACGCAGUAAGUAUCCCACCUGGGGAGUACGGCCGCAAGGUUGAAACUCAAAGGAAUUGACGGGGGCCCGCACAAGCAGUGGAGUAUGUGGUUUAAUUCGAAGCAACGCGAAGAACCUUACCAGGGCUUGACAUAUAGAGGAAUAUGCUAGAGAUAGCACAGCUCUUCGGAGUCUCUAUACAGGUGGUGCAUGGUUGUCGUCAGCUCGUGUCGUGAGAUGUUGGGUUAAGUCCCGCAACGAGCGCAACCCCUGUUUCUAGUUGCCAGCACGUAAUGGUGGGAACUCUAGAAAGACUGCCGGUGAUAAAUCGGAGGAAGGUGGGGAUGACGUCAAAUCAUCAUGCCCUUUAUGUCCUGGGCUACACACGUACUACAAUGGCCGUGACAGAGGGAAGCAAAGUAGUGAUACUAAGCAAAACCCAAAAAGCGGUCUCAGUUCGGAUUGAAGGCUGAAAUUCGCCUUCAUGAAGCCGGAAUUGCUAGUAAUGGCAGGUCAGCAUACUGCCGUGAAUACGUUCCCGGGCCUUGUACACACCGCCCGUCACACCAUGAGAGUUGGGGAUACCCGAAGCCUGUGAGCUAACUUUUAGAGGCAGCAGUCGAAGGUAGAAUCAAUGAUUGGGGUGAAGUCGUAACAAGGUAGCGUA
rnacentral:rRNA from 1 species